rnacentral:rRNA from 1 species
UCUACGUCGGCGACCGGCGCACGGGUGCGUAACGCGUAUGCAACCUACCCAUUACAGGGGGAUAACGCUGAGAAAUCGGUACUAAUACCCCAUAACAUCCAGGGAGGCAUCUUCUUGGGUUGAAAACUCCGGUGGUAAUGGAUGGGCAUGCGUUGUAUUAGUUAGUUGGUGGGGUAACGGCUCACCAAGACAACGAUACAUAGGGGGACUGAGAGGUUAACCCCCCACAUUGGUACUGAGACACGGACCAAACUCCUACGGAAGGCAGCAG